rnacentral:rRNA from 1 species
UGACGCAGCAACGCCGCGUGAGUGAUGAAGGCCUUCGGGUCGUAAAGCUCUGUCAAGUGGGAAGAACCCUUACAGCCGGACAAUGGUUGUGAGCUGACGGUACCACUGAAGGAAGCACCGGCUAACUCCGUGCCAGCAGCCGCGGUAAUACGGAGGGUGCAAGCGUUAUUCGGAAUUACUGGGCGUAAAGGGCGCGCAGGCGGCCAUGUAAGUCAGUUGUGAAAGCCCGGGGCUCAACCCCGGAAGUGCGACUGAAACUGUGUGGCUUGAGUAUGGUAGAGGGAAGUGGAAUUCCUGGUGUAGCGGUGAAAUGCGUAGAUAUCAGGAGGAACACCGGUGGCGAAGGCGACUUCCUGGACCAAUACUGACGCUGAGGCGCGAAGGC